rnacentral:lncRNA from 1 species
UUAAAGUGGUGUCUGGCUUCUGGCUGUCAUGAAGCCGUACCUGAAUACACAUUGCCCACACUCGCACGGUCUCAGCACAAUUUUGGAACCGGCUUCCGUUUUGCCCUGCUCAGUUAAAAGUUGGAAGGAGUGCAGCUGUAGAAAGCUAUGGCUAGCACAUUUUUUUUUAUGGGUAAAAUUUAUAGAGUAAUGUAUCUACUUUUAGCAUGACUAUUGUUAAACCUGGAGAUCAAGCAAAGUGACACUGAGUAUAUUGCUUUAUCAAUUGAAUUCGUUCACGUGAAAAAUGCUGAUCAGGCCAUGUCUAUCCCUUGGGUGCAGAAACCCUACUUCAACUCCUGAAUGGUCAAUACAUAAAAGUCAAAUUCAUUAUAAUUUGUAGCUUUUUUUUCCC